rnacentral:rRNA from 1 species
UACGUAGGGGGCGAGCGUUGUCCGGAUUUAUUGGGCGUAAAGAGCGUGUAGGCGGCUUGGUAGGUCUGCUGUGAAAACUCGGGGCUCAACCCCGAGACGUCGGUGGAGACCACCUGGCUAGAGUCCGGAAGAGGAGAGUGGAAUUCCUGGUGUAGCGGUGAAAUGCGCAGAUAUCAGGAAGAACACCAAUGGCGAAGGCAGCUCUCUGGGACGGUACUGACGCUGAGACGCGAAAGCGUGGGGAGCGAACAGG